rnacentral:rRNA from 1 species
AUACGUAGGCAGCGAGCGUUGUUCGGAGUUACUGGGCGUAAAGCGUGCGUAGGCGGUUCCGCAAGUUCGGUGGGAAAUAUCCCGGCUCAACUGGGAGGGUGCGCCGAAAACUGCGGAGCUCGAGCGUGGGAGAGGGAAGCGGAAUUCCUGGUGUAGCGGUGAAAUGCGUAGAUAUCAGGAGGAACACCGGUGGUGUAGACGGCUUCCUGGACCACUGCUGACGCUGAGGCACGAAAGCGUGGGGAGCAAACAGGAUUAGAAACCCUAGUAGUCC